ACUCUCCCAGCUCUGCGUAGUCACACCUGCCUGAACACGUGUGAUUUUCGUAAUGGGGAGAGAGACGAAGGAUCUCCUCGGGACGUCGGAUAGGCCUCCUUGUGGCCUUUCUUUCCUUGAGGGGCGCAACAAGC